rnacentral:misc_RNA from 1 species
GAUGAAGAACGCAGCGAAAUGCGAUAAGUAGUGUGAAUUGCAGAAUUCAGUGAAUCAUCGAAUCUUUGAACGCACAUUGCGCCCGCUAGUAUUCUGGCGGGCAUGCCUGUCUGAGCGUCAUUUCAACCCUCGCCCCCGGCUUUUGCUGGGAGCGGUGUUGGGGAUCGGCCGCCCGUCACUGGGAGGCCGGCCCCGAAAUAGAGUGGCGACCACGCCGUGUGCUCCUCUGCGUAGUAGUAAAUCACCUCGCAGGCGGACAGCGGUGCGGCCUGCCGUAAAACCCCCAACUCUUUCUGGUUGACCUCAGAUCAGGUAGGAAUACCCGCUGAACUUAAGCAUAUCAAUAAGCGGAGGA